UUUACUGCUUCUUAUUUAUUUAUUUUUCUUUUUUUAUGCUCCUUAUUGUUCUCUUAUCUUAUUGAACUUUCAUAUCAUUAGUGGGAAUUGAUAUGCUCCUAAUUCACAUUUUCCUUUCCCCAAAUUUCAACCUCUAUAUCCUCAAUCUCAUCUUCACUCAUUAUCCUUCCAAUUUCGAUUAAAGCUUCAUGACCAUUUCUGUCGCAGCUUCUUUCCUCACGCUCCAAGCUCUUCUCUCCUUCCUCCAUCCCUUUUCUUAACCGAAGCCCAACCCUAAAAUUCGUUGAAGAUCAAACCCUAAAAAUUAUUUGAAGUUUGAAUCACACCUAAUCGGCAUGGAUACUGACAUCGAACCCUAGCAAUCAACACUAAUAAUCACAUAACCUUGAUUGUUAAUCUGAUUUGGCGCAUUUUUGCAAUCGGCCGCUCGUCCGCAUUGUUACUCUUCUUCUAAGGUUGAUUUCAAGGUAAAAUUAUGGUUUAUCUUUUUUAUAUCAUGGUUUGCAACUAUAAUGAGUUUUUAGAUUAGUAUUAGGUGUUUACUUCCUUAUAUUUUAAGAUUAGCAAACUGUUAUGAGUUAUGUCUGCUCUGCAGACAUUUUGUGAGAUACGUAGACGGUGGCUCUAUUAUGAUAGGGGAAGAGGAACUAGGCACAUCUAAUGGUGUGUUCGAAGAAAUUAUUUCACUUUUAGGAUACAUUAGUGUUCAUUAGGAGAAAUACAUAUCAUUUUCCACUUCCUUCGCCAUAUACAAUAUGUGUUUGUAAACUGUAUGCAGGAUAUUGUUAAUUGAUACUACUAAAUUGAAUUUAUCUUAUAUUUUGGUAUAAGGGAAGAUUUGGAAACUAGUCGCAGAUUUCCUAAAACAUAAGUAGCAGGUUUGGCUCUAUGAUCUUGUUUCUUUGUUCUAUUUGCAGCAAGUUUGCAUGGGGUGGUGGUUUGUCUACUAGAUAUAUCGAAAUUUAGUGUUAUAAUAAAGAUAGAGCAGUUGUUAAUUAAUUAAUAAAGUUGAUUGUUACUUAUUAAUCUCUGCUUCAAUUUUCAAUCUGUCUCUUGAUUUUUAGUUGCUCAAAUACAAUAAAGCACUAGCUAACCAUUUGGGGUAAUGAAUAAUACCAGUAAUGUACAUUAAUGACUAACUAAACAGAAGUUUUGGAAAGGGUAAUAGUGACCUAGGAAGAUGGAGCGACAAUGGAGUAGUGAAUCUAAAAAUGUGAUGUCGUCUCUGUCACACUCAUGUAAUGGACAUGCCAACUCAUCUUCCCUCACUGAAUUUCAAGCAUUAAAAUAACUUAGAAUGUUGCUACAAAGUCAUUGCUCAAUGCCUUGCUCAAGUAAUGGCUUUGCCGAAUGCUGAUGACAAUGAAGAUGACGACGACAGAGAUGUUAAAACUAUUAGAUCUAUUUUACCUUGUGGUCUGCUAAAUUUGGAACAAGUAGUAAUGGAGCUCCAAAACUGCAAAUUCUUCUGGCUGAGUACAUAUUUUUUUAUAGUCCUGAGGUGGUAUGUAUCAUAAUAUCACUUAUAGGGAAUAUAAUCUUCAUUGUUGCUUCUCUUGAAAAGCUUCACUUAACCUUGAAACUAAUUAAUAUGACCUUUGUUUGUAUAAAUAAAUGACAAUGUGCUUUUGACAUGCAGGAGAUGAAUAAAGUGACAUAUCAUUUUGUGAGAGGAAAUGAUCCGAUUAAGUUUUCUACUAAUCUAAUGUGCUUUUUGGGCAGGGGCAGCCCCCUAACUUUCUUAUUCCUUGUUAUUUAGUUCAACUUUGCAAAUUUUGUCGAUGCAUACAAAAAAGUUUGAUCUUAGUUUUUAUGCUAAAACUUGGUUCAACAUUUGCAUUAUGUUACUAACUUUUUAACUUUGGAAUUCAUUUUGUAUUUUUGGCAUA